UGCUGCCCUCUGCCUAAUUGGUGGAUCCAUGCGUCCUCCAAAUGCCACACCCAGCCCAGAGACUCGGGCUGAGAGGCCUGGGCCAAUUAAGAUGUUUCUGGCAGCAACAUCACCGUGCACCAGCCUGUGCUCUGACAUCAGAAGCGACAUCUAUUGAACGUCUGACCAUCCUGGAAGGGGGAUCCCUCGUCUGUGGCUCUCCCUGAGGUUUCUUUCUUUUUUUUUAUCCUGUUGAGGUUUUUUCAGGUAGUUUUUCCGGAUUCAAAGUGAGGAUCCAAGGUCAAAGGAGGGUGUAUGCUCAUCAUAAUGUAAAGCCCUGUGAGGAAAUUUGUGAUUUUGAGCUAUAUAAAUAAAAAAAUGAGUUGAAAUCAACUGAAAUAU